UGGGCGUAAAGGGCUCGCAGGCGGUUUCUUAAGUCUGAUGUGAAAGCCCCCGGCUCAACCGGGGAGGGUCAUUGGAAACUGGGGAACUUGAGUGCAGAAGAGGAGAGUGGAAUUCCACGUGUAGCGGUGAAAUGCGUAGAGAUGUGGAGGAACACCAGUGGCGAAGGCGACUCUCUGGUCUGUAACUGACGCUGAGGAGCGAAAGCGUGGGGAGCGAACAGGAUUAGAUACCCUGGUAGUCCACGCCGUAAACGAUGAGUGCUAAGUGUUAGGGGGUUUCCGCCCCUUAGUGCUGCAGCUAACGCAUUAAGCACUCCGCCUGGGGAGUACGGUCGCAAGACUGAAACUCAAAGGAAUUGACGGGGGCCCGCACAAGCGGUGGAGCAUGUGGUUUAAUUCGAAGCAACGCGAAGAACCUUACCAGGUCUUGACAUCCUCUGACAAUCCUAGAGAUAGGACGUCCCCUUCGGGGGCAGAGUGACAGGUGGUGCAUGGUUGUCGUCAGCUCGUGUCGUGAGAUGUUGGGUUAAGUCCCGCAACGAGCGCAACCCUUGAUCUUAGUUGCCAGCAUUCAGUUGGGCACUCUAAGGUGACUGCCGGUGACAAACCGGAGGAAGGUGGGGAUGACGUCAAAUCAUCAUGCCCCUUAUGACCUGGGCUACACACGUGCUACAAUGGACAGAACAAAGGGCAGCGAAACCGCGAGGUUAAGCCAAUCCCACAAAUCUGUUCUCAGUUCGGAUCGCAGUCUGCCACUCGACUGCGUGAAGCUGGAAUCGCUAGUAAUCGCGGAUCAGCAUGCCGCGGUG
rnacentral:rRNA from 1 species